UAAGGCCUUCUGCAGUCCACUAUCUGCUGAAAGAGAAGAAAAAUAUAGAUUUGAACAACUAUCAAUAUGUUUACAUGCAUUUAUGUAACCAGGUUACACGGAGAAACCAUGUUACGUGUGUAAUUGGGGUGUAACACUGCCACAAGUGUGAGGGGAAGAGUAAUAUAUAGAUAUCUAAAUUGUAUGGCUUAAUACAAUUUAGCCUGUUCUACAUCCGGCGAGUUUGAUUCUUUUGGACCCUUUUUCUUCUUUUUUGCAAUGCAUUGCUGUUCCUGAUUCUAUUCUUUUUCUGCAUUUUGAAGGGAGGACAUAUACAUCCAUUUUUGGUUUUUUGGGACAUUUCACUUGGACUAUGUGAGCAGUAUAAGGAGGUUUUUCUUUGAGUUGGACUAACAUUGGACAUUCAAAUGGAUGUUUAAUAUGUGAAUUUAUUCCGUUUUCUUGAUAAAUUGUUGUGUUUGCAUACAUUUAAGUUUCCAAUUAGUACAUUUGUUUGUCAGCGUCAAGAGAGCUUUAAAGACAUCCAAAACCAAAUAUCCUCAUUUAACCUGAUUGUAUAAAAGGCUUGGACAUUUAUGGGUGCUUAUCACUUUAAUACUCACAUUAUCAGGCCGUAAGAGAUGACGUAUAUUUACUGCGCUAGCAUUUGCCAUUGUGUGUGGGUGAAAGGAGCGAGUGCUAAUGCGAAGGUGUAUCAUGUUGUGGUUAAGUAACCUGUAACGACCCAUAAGUCUUUUUUUGAGCAUCCUUAUUUUGCCUGUGUGGUCCAGUGGUAUUCCCAGUAUUGAGUCAAUGACGAGAAACUGAUGACAAUACUAGUGUUGAACUGCCGAUAAACACGGCUGGACCACAGCACAGUUCAGAGAAGCAAUUACGUCUCUUCAUCCUCAUUCCUGUAUCCUGACCGAUACACCAUCCUGUUUACUGUCAAACCCUAAACGAGCUAGCCCUGCCUAAUAAGCUCUCUAACACUGAUCUUAGUAAAUAGAUCACAGGAGCUCUCUAAUUGUAAUUGUAACUAAGUUUAAAACUUAAGCUGAUUGCUACAGGGGUAACGUGUUAACAUGCACAGUACUGGUUACUGUAAAUUUAUGUGUACAAGCAACCAAUCAGUGAUCAGAUUUCUCCUCUACACUGACCUUAUUCUCAAAACAUGCCUUUCUUAUUUUAUCAGUAUUAGUGAUAGAAGACAUUUGUUAGUCCUUUGUUCUGUUUGGCUCUGUGUGUCUGAGUCAAAACUUUUCCUCACAGCAUGAAUGUGUCUGAAUUCAACAGUAAAAUGUUACGUGGUGGAAACUGACUCAUUUAGACUUCUAGAGGACACUUUGUAUUUGUUUAAGUUUUAGUUGGACUUUAAAUACAAGGAUAAAUCACUCUGUAAUGAUUUCUCCUUUCAUUCAGCUGCUUCACUUUCCCUAUCUACAGCGUUUUAUUAAGUACAUGUUAUAUAUUUACAUGGCAGAGAAAUUGACAUUCUCCAGGAGAAAUCUACCUGUUGAAAAAUUUUAAAUAAUAAUGCAAUAGAUUUAAUUUGUACUGCACUUUUCCUUCUGAUCCACAACUCCAAUUACAGUAACCAAUAACAGUUAUUUUGUAGGACCACCCGUCAGAAUUACGUCACUGCCCACCUGACAAGAGUUCAUUCAUGUUUUCCACAGUUGUAUCCACAAUCUUUCAAUAAUCCAAUGACAACCCCCAAAAUACCCGCACAGUGUGAAACCAGCCUCCAGGAAGUCCUGUAUGUUUCAGAGCCGCUAACGUCUGUUGGUCAGUGGAGGAGAUAUUACCAGAUUUAACAUCUGCUGUCUGGAUGUGAUGUCAUGUUUGUAUCUUCCUGUGACCUUCUGCUCCUGAGCCGAUGUUUGACAACUCCCUCACCAGAUCAUUCCUGGUAACUGACAGAACAACUUUGUGUGGAAAAGGAAAACCAGGAUCCAGGGCCGGACUGGCAAAAUCAUUCAGGUCGGGAAAUAUAGCACGAAAUAUAGACCCCGUCAGGCCACUUUCUAAGCGGGGAGUCUGAGGGUCCCCAACUAGGAACAUUUUAGUUACAAAUACUUGAUUUCCUGAAUUCUGGUGAUUUUUAGUGCAUGUGAAUAACAAACUAAUGAGCCAACAUCUGCUUAGUAUAAUGUACUGUUAUGAACCUCAAAUAAAACCAAAAGUGCACAUCAAUAAGGAGGGAGACAACACAUGGACUAACUUUCGACCAAUAGUUAUUAAAUAAUAAAUAACUAAAUAAAUGACUAAUAUACUAACAAAAUAGAAAAUGUCUUGUACCUGCAGGUUGCUCUGAAGUAGUGGGCUUCUGUACUGCUGUGGCAUCAGUGCUACUCUCUCCACCUUCAAAAAGAAAAAAGCGAAAGCACAACACACCAGAUCUUUUAAUGUACCGAUAUAAUACAGUUAACAACUCUCUCCAUCUAUUCAAAGAACAGAGCAAGAGCACAAUACCCUCCUCAGUUUACCGAUAUACACUAACAGUUACCCAUCGAAGAUUAAAAUAGCCCUUUAACCAACACAAACAUUAAAUAACACAGAUCUUUGACUUUCAACAAAUUACAGUAGCUUGAAUAGUGACAGAAGACGUUGUGUUGUCUCAAUAAUUUUCAAUUAUGAGCUCAAAGUAUGAACUCACUGACUGAGAUUUUCACCAAAAUGCAUUAAUUUUCAAAUAUUCACCACAUUAACUAGACUAGAUAUGCCAAUUGUGCCAUCAAUGUAUUUGAGGAAGUUAAGGGAACAAACACGUUUAUUAUUGAUUAUCCAGUUUCUUGGCAGCUUUAACAUUGUCAGGAGACGAUGAUGACGCAUCGCUAACAUUAGCUAUGUUAGCUAGGUAGCUAACGUUAGCUAGCUAGCUCGGCCACCGGGAAGAGUCCCGCUGCCAGUCCGGGCCUGCCAUGACCAUCUUCUGGAGCAGGCCCUGAGAGGGACCUGGAGGCCACACCAGCACCGAUAUGACCCAGUCAAACUUUACCCAAAAAAGCAACAUGGGGUUGCUGCCAUGCUGGCUCACUGGGGUUUGUUGCAUUGCCAGUCAGAUGGUGGAUGAACGUAAAGGUCUUGGUGUUCAGAACCCAGACCACCUUCAUAUUCACUUGAAUGAGAAAGUGUGUCCAAACUUUUGACUGGUACUGCAGGUCUGCUGGUCUCAUUGAACCAUGACGUUUGCAAGUACUGGACAUAUUACAUAGUAAUGUUUUUUUAAGUGAUGUACUUAUUUUGAGGAUCUCAGAAUUCGAAUAAUGUAUUGAUUUUUAGUUUUUAUCCUGAGAACUUUUGAUCACAGUAUGUUGAAUUAUUUGGUGCUGUACAGCAGCAGCUGUGUGUGUCCAAGGCAAAUUUCCCGCUGAGACAAUAAAGACUUAUCUUAUCUUAUUUGUAGCCAAGUAUGAAGUGGUUGAGAUAAGUUCUAGAGGCUGUAAAAAGUUCUUUAUCUCAUUAUCUCUUCUGGGUCCCCAGCGAGAAAGUUCAAGUAUCUUGGGCUCUUGCUUCCCAGUAUGGGUAAGAUGGAGAGUGAGACUAACAGAUGACUGGUUGCAGCAGCAACAAGGAUGCGGCAGAGUUUCCCAGAGGUCCUCUUUAAGUUUCUCCAUUAUGGCCUCCUGCUGAAAAUAAGAGACAUUUUAAAUAGGAAGGACAUGUAUUCAGUUCUCAUCUCAUGACACUUUACCAGUAUGACUUUUGUACAUGUGCAUGUUAAAUGUAAAUCAUCUACUGUUUGAACAAACA